GUUCCUGACUGCCCUCCUCUGUUGCUGUGGCAUUCCUGGAAGGCAGUGGAUCUGGAAGCACUGGCGGCCGCGCUGCAGACCAUGAGAACUACUACUGAACAAGCGUGUCCUAUCUGACCACGGGGCAGGAGCACAACCACGCUGUGGUGCACAGGGCUGAGGCCUUCCAUGCCGUGAAGGCAGUCAACACUUCCAAGUUCUGCCCUCAUAGAUUUGUUGUAGACCAGCUAAACCAUCACAAUGUCACCAAGAAACGGC
rnacentral:lncRNA from 1 species